CUACAGAACGAACGCUGGCGGCAAGCUUUACACAUGCAAGUCGAACGGACUGUUUUCGGACAGUUAGUGGCGCACGGGUGAGUAAUGCAUAGGAACGUGCCUUAUAGUUUGGGACAACAAUUGGAAACGAUUGCUAAUACCGGAUACGCCCUGAGGGGGAAAGAUUUAUCGCUAUAAGAGUGGCCUAUGUUCGAUUAGCUAGUUGGUGGGGUAAGAGCCUACCAAGGCGACGAUCGAUAGCUGGUCUGAGAGGAUGAUCAGCCACACUGGGACUGAGACACGGCCCAGACUCCUACGGGAGGCAGCAGUGGGGAAUUUUGGACAAUGGGGGCAACCCUGAUCCAGCUAUGCCGCGUGAGUGAAGAAGGCCUUCGGGUUGUAAAGCUCUUUUACCAGGGAUUAUAGUGAACGUACCUGGAGAAUAAGCACCGGCAAACUUCGUG
rnacentral:rRNA from 1 species